GGCUGGGGAGUGGGGAAAACGGGGAGAUGUUGGUCAAAGGAUACAAACUUCCAGUGAUAAGGUGAAUACAUUCUGGGCAUCUCAUUAACAGCAUGGUGAUUAUAGUUAGUAAUACUGUACUAUAUACUUGAAUGUUGCUAAGAGAGUAGAUCUUACAUGUUCUAACUACAACAAAGAAUGGUCAUUAUGUAAUAUGAUGGAGGCGUUAGCUAAUGCUAUGAUGGUAAUCGCUUUACAAUAUAUCAGUGGUUCAAAUCAACCUGUUGUACACCUUAGACUUACACAAUGUUACAUGUCAAUCAUAUCUCAAUAAAACCGGAAAAAAUAAAGGAGAAAACAGCCAAAUCACUGUUAACUGGAUGAUGGAGAGAAAGGUGGAAUGAAGGAGGGCAUACAACAGAACGCCAAAACAGAUUUGAGGUGCAGCCCAAUGAACAGAAUGUUUUGUGUUAGGGUCAAGCACAGAAGAGGAAGUAUAUAAAAUCAAGGCUAAUAUGCAGAAUUUUAUCAUUUCCUCUCAAAAAGAAAUGUAAGUGUUGGUUGUCUCCAGUUUUCUUUGGCUCUUAAAAAUGGAGCCAAGCAUAUUUUAAAACAUUUGUUAAGUCUCUAGAAUAUCUAAGAACAUGAUGCCCAUGUUGCCUUCGUACUACUUAGCUGGGGUUGCUUGAGUUACGAGUCUUCUGGUUUGUGAAUGUCUUCACUUUUAAGAGAUGCCUUCUUGGAGCACUGAUAGGCGCAUUGGCAGCCUCCACCUGCAGACUUAUCUUGGGGAACAGUAUCUCACAAAGCUGAGGAGGAGCUUGUGAUAAGACAGUAGGUCCUCAUGUCUUCAGAAGAGGUGAAAACUCUCCUGCAGAUUAGAUCAAGGAAAUUCUCCAGUUGGAUGUGACACAGAAGCUACCACCACGCCUUUCCAACCCAGGAUUGGGAUAAUAUCUGGAUUUCAAUAAAGAACGAGGCAGGCUGAUUUGUGUGAACAUUUAUGCAGAGUGCGGCUGCAGUGCUGAGACUCGAACCCCUCC